UGGGGGAUAUUGCACAAUGGGCGAAAGCCUGAUGCAGUGACGCCGCGUGGGGGAUGAAGGCCUUCGGGUUGUAAACUUCUUUUGCUCUGAACAAGGCAUGCCUUUGGGGUGUGUUGAGUGUAGGGGUUGAUUAGCGCCGGCUAACUACGUGCCAGCAGCCGCGGUAAUACGUAGGGCGCGAGCGUUGUCCGGAAUUAUUGGGCGUAAAGGGCUUGUAGGUGGCUGGUUGCGUCUGUCGUGAAAGCUCAUGGCUUAACUGUGGGUUUGCGGUGGGUACGGGCUGGCUUGAGUGCAGUAGGGGAGGCUGGAAUUCCUGGUGUAGCGGUGGAAUGCGCAGAUAUCAGGAGGAAUACCGGUGGCGAAGGCGGGUCUCUGGGCUGUUACUGACGCUGAGGAGCGAAAGCGUGGGGAGCGAACAGG
rnacentral:rRNA from 1 species